GCCUGGGUGGCUCAAUUGGGUAAGCAUCUGACUUCAGCUCAGGUCAUGACCUCAUGGUUAGUGGGUUCGAGCCCCACGUCAGGCU
rnacentral:tRNA from 1 species